rnacentral:rRNA from 1 species
CCCUACGGGGUGCGUUCUUUGCGCCCGACCUGGUCGAUGCCUUUCUCGAUGCCUCCCGCUCGGAGGCGUUCUGGCUCCUGCUCGAUGCCGAUUUUAUUCCCCAGUUCGUGGCGGACAUGGGGUGCAUCUCCCGGAAGCUCACGAUCAGCCUGGACGAACUGAAGAGAUUCGCCCUUAUCAUAGCGGAUAUCGUUGAUGCGAAAUCGCACUUCACCACGGAACACUCCCUGGGGGUCGCAAGGCUUUCCCGGGUCCUUGCCGGCAUGGCCGGCAUCACGGGGGACCGUCUCGACCUCGUCGAGGUCGCAGCGCUUUUCCAUGACAUCGGCAAGCUCCAGAUCCCGGACGAGGUGCUCGAAAGCCCGGCGAAACUGACGCUGGCGGGGGGGC